ACGGGUGAGUAACACGUGGGAACGUACCCUUCGGUUCAGAAUAACGCUGGGAAACUAGCGCUAAUACCGGAUACGCCCUUAUGGGGAAAGGUUUACUGCCGAAGGAUCGGCCCGCGUCUGAUUAGCUAGUUGGUGGGGUAAUGGCCUACCAAGGCGACGAUCAGUAGCUGGUCUGAGAGGAUGAUCAGCCACACUGGGACUGAGACACGGCCCAGACUCCUACGGGAGGCAGCAGUGGGGAAUAUUGGACAAUGGGCGCAAGCCUGAUCCAGCCAUGCCGCGUGAGUGAUGAAGGCCUUAGGGUUGUAAAGCUCUUUUGUCCGGGACGAUAAUGACGGUACCGGAAGAAUAAGCCCCGGCUAACUUCGUGCCAGCAGCCGCGGUAAUACGAAGGGGGCUAGCGUUGCUCGGAAUCACUGGGCGUAAAGGGCGCGUAGGCGGCCAUUCAAGUCGGGGGUGAAAGCCUGUGGCUCAACCACAGAAUUGCCUUCGAUACUGUUUGGCUUGAGUAUGGCAGAGGUUAGUGGAACUGCGAGUGUAGAGGUGAAAUUCGUAGA
rnacentral:rRNA from 1 species